GCCGGUGUGGCGGAAUUGGCAUACGCGCGCGACUCAAAAUCGCGUCCCGCAAGGGUUGUGGGUUCAAGUCCCACCACCGGCA
rfam:Candidatus Terrybacteria bacterium RIFCSPLOWO2_02_42_20 rifcsplowo2_02_sub10_scaffold_194, whole genome shotgun sequence.